GAUGCCCCCUCCCCUUCCCAGUUCCCACCCCUUUCCGCAGGGGAGAAAGGUUACAGAGAUGCGCUCACCUUCCCCGCGAUCUCGCUAGGGUUCCCGCGAUGGCGACACCGCGUUCCCCGGGCCCCCGAGGAGAUGCGCUCCUGGACUCGGCGCCGCUCCUUGGUGGCGGUGGGAGGCGUCGGUGGGGCGCGCUACGCCGGCCGUCGCUCCGGGGAGCGGCGCGGCUGCUGCGGAGGGGCGGUCGCCGGGCGAUGCGGGAGCCGUCGCUGCUGGUGCGGGAGGCCGCGGCGGAGCAGCUGGAGGAGCGGCAGGCCGGCUGGGCCUACUCCCGCCCCGUGCUGGCCCUUGACCUUCUCUGGAACCUCGCCUUCAUCCUCGUCUCCGCCGUCGUGCUCGUGCUCAGCCUCGACGAAAGCCCCUCCAUGCCGCUCCGCUUCUGGAUCGCCGGGUACGCCGCCCAGUGCAUUGUCCACAUGGUCUGCGUCGCCAUCGAGCAUCGUAUGCGCCACGGCCAGCGCGGCGGGGCCCCAAUGCCCUCUGACGAGGAGAGCGGAAGUGACGCAUCGUCCUCAUCCAGCGACGACGACGAUGGCGAGCGCGUUUCCCGUGGUCGCAGUGGCGAUUGUGUCAGUAUAGCGAAACAGCUGGAGUCUACUAACACAAUGUUCUCGUUCAUGUGGUGGAUAAUUGGAUUUUACUGGGUAUCUGUUGGCGGACAAGUCCUUACCCAUGAUGCACCUCAACUUUACUGGCUUUGCAUCGUCUUUCUGGCAUUUGAUGUUUUCUUUGUCGUCUUUUGUGUUGCUUUGGCUUGCAUCAUUGGCAUUGCUGUUUGCUGCUGCCUUCCUUGUAUCAUAGCAAUUUUAUAUGCAGUGUCUGAUCAGGAGGGAGCAUCUGAAGAUGACAUUCGCCAAAUUCCAAAAUACAAAUUUCGUAGGGUGGAAACGCCUGAAAAGCAGUCUGUCAAUGUGACUGGAACUUCUGGUGGAAUAAUGAUAGAAUGUGGCACCAACCAACCUAUUGAAAAAGCACUUGCAGCUGAAGACGCGGAGUGUUGCAUUUGUCUCUCAGCGUAUGAUGAUGGUGCAGAACUCCGUGAACUCCCCUGUGACCACCAUUUUCACUGUGCUUGCAUUGAUAAGUGGCUGCACAUCAACGCCACAUGCCCAUUAUGCAAAUACAACAUUCAGAAAAACGCCAGCAGCAGUGGCAGCGAAGAAGUAUAAAUCUCCAUGUGAGAAUAUCAAGCAUUCUUAUCCAUCCUUACCGGUUUGUAUCACUGGUACAUCUCAUUCAGAACUCGUCGUAUUGGUUCACGUUUUUAUAAUAUCUAUUGAACUGCAACCCGAGUGUGCCUGCUUGUUUGUGUAGUCUACUUAUGUUUUAGUAAUAAUACUACGAAGACAAAUUGUGGCUUGAUUCAUUCUGUCACAAAAUAGUCCGCAUGCUGGCCAGGGAGGGUAAGAGCUUGUGUAUUACCUUGUUUACUAAAGUUAAGGUUUUGUUUUGUUGUAGGGCCUGUAACAUGAUGCUAGUUUAAAGCUAGGUACCCGCUGGUGGGUGGAUUAUGCUCCGGAUUUUGUCUUUCGUCAGGUGCUUAGAGAUUUAUCUAUGCACCAACUCCGUACAGAACAAAUAUCACUUGAAUGGAGGUUAUUCAAGCAAUUGACUGAUGGAAUUAGUUCAAUCGUAGUGAAAUAUGCCCGUCCUAUUUAACAUUUAUUGCAGUGACAUACAUAUCGAGUUACCAACCUUCAGGUCAGACAAUGGCCCCUGGUAUUGGAGUAGGACAUGGAUCCUCUGUAGUACUGCAGAGUGCAUGGUCUAUAUGUUAAUGACUCUGUAGUACUGUAAGGAUUCCGAUGCAAUGGAGCAUACUCCAAAAAUAUGAGAUUGGAAAUAUCAGAGUUUCAAUCCGAUAAA